rnacentral:rRNA from 1 species
ACGGGAGGCAGCAGUGAGGAAUAUUGGUCAAUGGACGGAAGUCUGAACCAGCCAUGCCGCGUGCAGGAAUAAGGCCCUAUGGGUCGUAAACUGCUUUUGUGGUGGAGCAAUAAGGCGUACGUGUACGUCGAUGAGAGUACAUCACGAAUAAGCAUCGGCUAACUCCGUGCCAGCAGCCGCGGUAAUACGGAGGAUGCGAGCGUUAUCCGGAUUUAUUGGGUUUAAAGGGUGCGUAGGCGGGACGUUAAGUCAGUGGUAAAAGCGUGUGGCUCAACCAUACCAAGCCAUUGAAACUGUCGUUCUUGAGUGUAAACGAGGUAGGCGGAAUGUGACGUGUAGCGGUGAAAUGCUUAGAUAUGUCACAGAACCCCGAUUGCGAAGGCAGCUUACCAGCAUACAACUGACGCUGAGGCACGAAAGCGUGGGUAUCAAACAGGAUUAGAUACCCUGGUA